rnacentral:misc_RNA from 1 species
GAUGAAGAACGCAGCGAAACGCGAUAAGUAAUGUGAAUUGCAGAAUCCAGUGAAUCAUCGAAUCUUUGAACGCACAUUGCGCCCGCCAGCAUUCUGGCGGGCAUGCCUGUUCGAGCGUCAUUUCAACCCUCGACCUCCCCUUGGGGAGGUCGGCGUUGGGGACCGGCAGCACACCGCCGGCCCUGAAAUGGAGUGGCGGCCCGUCCGCGGCGACCUCUGCGCAGUAAUACAGCUCGCACCGGGACCCCGACGCGGCCACGCCGUAAAACACCCAACUUCUGAACGUUGACCUCGAAUCAGGUAGGACUACCCGCUGAACUUAAGCAUAUCAAUAAGCGGAGGA